rnacentral:rRNA from 1 species
GACGAACGCUGGCGGCGUGCUUAACACAUGCAAGUCGAACGGAAAGGCCCUGCUUUUGUGGGGUGCUCGAGUGGCGAACGGGUGAGUAACACGUGAGUAACCUGCCCUUGACUUUGGGAUAACUUCAGGAAACUGGGGCUAAUACCGGAUAGGAGCUCUUGCUGCAUGGUGGGGGUUGGAAAGUUUCGGCGGUUGGGGAUGGACUGGCGGCUUAUCAGCUUGUUGGUGGGGUAGUGACUUACCAAGGCUUUGACGGGUAGCCGGCCUGGGAGGGUGACCGGCCACAUUGGGACUGCGAUACGGACCAGACUCCUACGGGAGGCAGCAGUGGGGAAUAUUGCACAAUGGGCGGAAGCCUGAUGCAGCAACGCCGCGUGCGGGAUGACGGCCUUCGGGUUAUAAACCGCUUUCGCCUGUGACGAAGCGUGAGUGACGGUAAUGGGUAAAGAAGCACCGGCUAACUACGUG